rnacentral:rRNA from 1 species
AGAGUUUGAUCCUGGCUCAGAACGAACGCUGGCGGCAUGCCUAAUACAUGCAAGUCGAACGCAGGGCUUCGGCCCUGAGUGGCGCACGGGUGAGUAGCGCGUGGGAACCUGCCCUGUUGUGGGGGAUAACCGAGGGAAACUUCGGCUAAUACCGCAUACGCCGGGAAACCGGGAAAGAUUUAUCGCAGCAGGAGGGGCCC